rnacentral:lncRNA from 1 species
UUUUUCUGCCGUGGUUCGUUCACAAGGCGCGACUGUAGGCAGAGGCUCCCUGUUCUGAAGCUGGCUGUCAGCACUCCCCCAACUGCCGUCUCAAGCAGAGAAAGCAAGGGAGGGAAGCUUCCAGGACCAAGCCCUGGUGGGCAGGUAGCAGCCCACCUCCAGUGAGACGGAGAAGUUGGCCGGGGCCAGCAAUGAAGGACCAGCCUGUCUCCUCCCCGAGAACUGAAAGGCAAAAGGCACCCAAGGCUGGGAAGAGAGCAGCAGCCUCACCAAGUAAGGAAGACAAAAUGAAGCAAUCAGUGAGGGUUUCCUGGGUCUACACAGGGAUUGAAGGAGACACUUCUGGGUGAUGCGAGUGCUGCGCAGCUCAGAACCCUUGGAAGGAUGAGAGGAGGACGAGCCCGGCGGCCUGCCGGUGCGGUGAUGGAGGGCUCUUCGGUAGCCACACUGCGCGCCUCCCACACACACCUUAAGAGUCUUGGGGCCCCGGGCCAGCGCUGCAGCCCAAAGAGACCCUGCAGCCGCAUUUUCUCCCAGGCCGUGGCAAACCCUGGCUUCGCCUCCCUUCACCAUGGCUUGUGAGGGCAGGAGGCUCCCGGGGGCCGACUUCCCUGACCUGAAUGAGUCAGGCACCCUUCUUUAUUUUAAGUGGGGGUGUGACCUGAGGAGAUAAAGGAAGGACGACAGACCUGGGGAGUGGGGCCCUGCAGCCUCUUGGGCCCGGAGCGCACUCCUUCUCCGCUCCCUCCCCUCACCGGCAGGAUCGGGGGUCUUGAAACUGGAGCCGCUCACCGGCCAGCGGAUGAGAGAUAAAGGAGCCCGGCGGCGCCGAAGCGCUGACCAGCAGACCCGGAUCCGGACUUUCC